UACGUAGGGUGCAAGCGUUGUCCGGAAUUAUUGGGCGUAAAGAGCUCGUAGGCGGUUUGUCGCGUCUGCUGUGAAAUCUGGGGGCUCAACCCCCAGCCUGCAGUGGGUACGGGCAGACUAGAGUGCGGUAGGGGAGAUUGGAAUUCCUGGUGUAGCGGUGGAAUGCGCAGAUAUCAGGAGGAACACCAAUGGCGAAGGCAGGUCUCUGGGCCACAACUGACGCUGAGGAGCGAAAGCGUGGGGAGCGAACAGG
rnacentral:rRNA from 1 species